UACGGAGGGUGCAAGCGUUAAUCGGAAUUACUGGGCGUAAAGCGCACGCAGGCGGUCUGUCAAGUCGGAUGUGAAAUCCCCGGGCUCAACCUGGGAACUGCAUCCGAAACUGGCAGGCUAGAGUCAUGUAGAGGGGGGUAGAAUUCCAGGUGUAGCGGUGAAAUGCGUAGAGAUCUGGAGGAAAACCGGUGGCGAAGGCGGCCCCCUGGACAAAGACUGACGCUCAGGUGCGAAAGCGUGGGGAGCAAACAGGAUUAGUUACCCUGGUAGUCCCCGCCGUAAACGAUGUCGACUUGGAGGUUGUGCCCUUGAGGCGUGGCUUCCGGAGCUAACGCGUUAAGUCGCCCGCCUGGGGAGUACGGCCGCAAGGUUAAA
rnacentral:rRNA from 1 species